UACGGAGGGUGCAAGCGUUAAUCGGAAUUACUGGGCGUAAAGGGUGCGUAGGUGGUUAAAUAAGUUAUCUGUGAAAUCCCUGGGCUCAACCUGGGAGGUGCGCUUGAUACUCGAGGGCUUGAGUGCGGGAGAGGAGAGUGGAAUUCCCAGUGUAGAGGUGAAAUUCGUAGAUAUUGGGAAGAACACCGGUGGCGAAGGCGGCUCUCUGGACCGUAACUGACGCUGAGGCGCGAAAGCGUGGGGAGCAAACAGG
rnacentral:rRNA from 1 species